AGUGAACGCUGGCGGUAGGCCUAACACAUGCAAGUCGAACGGCAGCACAGUAAGAGCUUGCUCUUACGGUUGGCGAGUGGCGGACGGGUGAGGAAUACAUCGGAAUCUACUUUUUCUUGGGUGAUAACGUAGGGACACUUCCGCUAAUACCUCAUACUACCUACGGGUGAAAUCAGGGGAUCUUCGGACCUUGCGCGAUUCAAUGAGCCGAUGUCGGAUUAGCUAGUUGGCGGGGUAAAGGCCCACCAAGGCGACGAUCCGUAGCUGGUCUGAGAGGAUGAUCAGCCACACUGGAACUGAGACACGGUCCAGACUCCUACGGGAGGCAGCAGUGGGGAAUAUUGGACAAUGGGCGCAAGCCUGAUCCAGCCAUACCGCGUGGGUGAAGAAGGCCUUCGGGUUGUAAAGCCCUGUUGUUGGGAAAGAAAAGCAGCAGGUUAAUACCCCGCUGUUCUGACGGUACCCAAAGAAUAAGCACCGGCUAACUUCGUG
rnacentral:rRNA from 1 species